rnacentral:rRNA from 1 species
AGCGAACGCUGGCGGCAGGCCUAACACAUGCAAGUCGAACGAACUCUUCGGAGUUAGUGGCGGACGGGUGAGUAACACGUGGGAACGUGCCUCUUGGUUCGGAAUAACUCAGGGAAACUUGUGCUAAUACCGAAUGUGCCCUUCGGGGGAAAGAUUUAUCGCCAUUAGAGCGGCCCGCGUCUGAUUAGCUAGUUGGUGAGGUAACGGCUCACCAAGGCGACGAUCAGUAGCUGGUCUGAGAGGAUGACCAGCCACACUGGGACUGAGACACGGCCCAGACUCCUACGGGAGGCAGCAGUGGGGAAUCUUGCACAAUGGGCGAAAGCCUGACGCAGCCAUGCCGCGUGAAUGAUGAAGGUCUUAGGAUUGUAAAAUUCUUUCACCGGGGACGAUAAUGACGGUACCCGGAGAAGAAGCCCCGGCUAACUUCGUG